AAAAAUACUCCUUCUUGACAAAGUUGCAGUUUGUACCAGCCAUUAACGACCUUAGACUUUUACCUCCAAUAAACUCAACCAUAUUUGCAAAUUCACUCACCUUCCCUCUCCUCCCUUCUCCUCCAUAUAUAUCCUCGACCCACAUAUACAUACACCUCCACACGUGCACCAAUCAUUUACAGCUGCAUAUUCAACAAGAAUACCAGAGCGUCUCUGCUCGCCAUGGGUUGCUCUGCCUCCCUUCCAGAUAGGAGUUCUUCUGGGCGGUUGGUCGGGCCAAAUUCCGAAAACGGUGGCGCUUCUGAUGCCAAAAAUCUACGCGUGAA